AUGUAUUCAUUUAAUGUGUUAAAAUUAAGACCCCCAUCACACAUAGCAAGAAUGUGCAGGAACCAGGCUGACAUGGCAAAAAUGGCCA